CCUACGUGCGGCAGCAGUGGGGAAUAUUGCACAAUGGGGGAAACUCUGAUGCAGCGACGCCGCGUGAGUGAAGAAGUAUUUCGUUAUGUAAAGCUCUAUCAGUAGGGAAGUAAAUGACGGUACCUGAGUAAGAAGCCCCGGCUAACUACGUGCCAGCAGCCGCGGCAAUACGGAGGGGGCAAGCGUUAUCCGGAUUUACUGGGUGUAAAGGGAGCGUAGACGGAAGUGCAAGUCUGGAGUGAAAGGCGGGGGCUCAACACGCGGACUGCUCUGGAAACUGUACGGCUGGAGUGCAGGAGAGGUAAGUGGAAUGCCUAGUGGAGCGGUGAAAUGCGUAGAUAUUAGAAGGAACACCAGUGGCGAAGGCGGCUUACUGAACUGUAACUGACGUUGAGGCUCGAAAGCGUGGGGAGCAAACAGGAUUAGAUACCCCAGUAGUC
rnacentral:rRNA from 1 species